ACUCUUUAAUAGUAGACCUUAUAAAGAAUUUUUGUUUAAUCUUUAUUCAUCACAGAAAGAAUCCCUAAAGCUAACCACAAAAUUUAACAUCCGCUGACACAUCUCCAUCGAACUACGGGACCAUGGUACGCAAACAGCGAUCGUGACUCGCAUGUGAUGUACAUCCGCCGGAAGUGCGUGACUGUGACACGCACGCGGUGCGUACUUCCGCCGGAACCGUAAGUGCGGUGCGUUGACACGCACGUGAGAGUGGAACGCAUGUAGCGUUCAGAUUUUGUCCCCCCUUAUUUUUUAUAAUGUCAGGAAGCAGAAUUGAUGUUAGUUAACCAGUAAGAAUGGCAUUCCACAUAGUACCAUGAGGUCUUAACACAUUACUAACUAAUAAUAAAUUAAUUAAUCAGCCAGCAGGAAGUGAUGUAAUAUCAAGGGAGCUAUAAAGGGAUGCCCCUAUAUUGCCUCUCAUUCUGUAGUUGGUAUUCAAUGAGGUUGCACUUGUUCCUGUAAAAAGGAAUAGUUUCGUUCAGGAUUUGAAAUUUUCCUAAGUUCUCUGUUUGGUGACAUGUAUAAACAGAGGUAGACUAUAAGGUUCCACCAUUCUUGAUUGAAAAUAGGGAAUAGUAUCAUUCAGGAUUUGAAAUUUUUCCUAAGUCCUCUUUUUGGUGACAUGUAUAAACAGAGGUAGACUAUAAGGUUCCACCAUUCUUGAUUGAAAAUAGGUAAAAACCAGACUAAUUUAGUGCAAUCAUUGAAUACCAUAUGAGGUUAAGUAUUUCAGAUGUUAAAAAGUUCUUCUUGCUGGUUAUUAAUUACAGCUGUGAACUUAAUUGGCUCUCUAAUGAUUGAUUGAAUAUACCACUCCCCAUUGCAUGUUAGAUUAAAGACAUCAUUUAGGGGAUCUGUUAGGUAACCAGUAAGAAUGGCAUUCCACAUAGUACUAUGAGGUCCUAACACAUCACUAACUAAUAAUAAAUCAAUUAAUCAGCCAGCAGGAAGUGAUGUAAUAUCAAGGGAGCUAUAAAGGGAUGUCCUUAUAUUGCCUCUCAUUCUGUAGUUGGGAUUCAGUGAGGUUGCACUUGUUCCUGUAAAAAGGAAUAGUUUCGUUCAGGAUUUGAAAUUUUCCUAAGUUCUCUGUUUGGUGACAUGUAUAAACAGAGGUAGACUAUAAGGUUCCACCAUUCUUGAUUGAAAAUAGGGAAUAGUAUCAUUCAGGAUUUGAAAUUUUUCCUAAGUCCUCUUUUUGGUGACAUGUAUAAACAGAGGUAGACUAUAAGGUUCCACCAUUCUUGAUUGAAAAUAGGUAAAAACCAGACUAAUUUAGUGCAAUCAUUGAAUACCAUAUGAGGUUAAGUAUUUCAGAUGUUAAAAAGUUCUUCUUGCUGGUUAUUAAUUACAGCUGUGAACUUAAUUGGCUCUCUAAUGAUUGAUUGAAUAUACCACUCCCCAUUGCAUGUUAGAUUAAAGACAUCAUUUAGGGGAUCUGUUAGGUAACCAGUAAGAAUGGCAUUCCACAUAGUACUAUGAGGUCCUAACACAUCACUAACUAAUAAUAAAUCAAUUAAUCAGCCAGCAGGAAGUGAUGUAAUAUCAAGGGAGCUAUAAAGGGAUGUCCUUAUAUUGCCUCUCAUUCUGUAGUUGGGAUUCAGUGAGGUUGCACUUGUUCCUGUAAAAAGUAAGUUUGAGUAUUAUAAUUGUAUAUUUGGAACUUAGUUAUUGGAUGGUCUUUUUGAAAAUUUAUUAGAU